rnacentral:lncRNA from 1 species
UUCUUUAGUAGAAGGAUAACAUGACAUAGCAGGAAUAAUACUGCCUUUUCUUUCUGGCAUGGAUCAAGAGAAAAGAAAAUACAAGAAAACAGACAGAAGAUCCUAUCUGCGACAAUUAAGAGCACUCUAAGAGGAAAACACAUCCCACCACACAAGGCAAGGUACUUCUAUGGAAGGGUGAGCCCUCACAGAUGGAGCAAUGGGGCGCGCACACCUGAACAAGGGAGGGGAAGGAGUUCUUAUCCCUGAUGCAUGUGACCCCUGCUGCUGUGUCCUUCCCCUAUUGGCUAAGGUUAGACCACACAGCCUAAACUAAUUCCGAUUGGCUAAUUCAAAGAGAGCGACGGGGGCUUCUGACAGCUUUGGAGAUUGUGACAUUGGAAUAAAGGAAAAACGUACAGGACUCAUGAAGCGCUGAAAUGUUCACAAAUAUCAAGCAAAAGUCAAUGAAAUUUAUUUUGAGCUAUUUACAUCAUUUAAUAAUUGAGCAAGGUAUACUCCUAUGAACAAAAUUUGGAGCAUGUUUGUCUCUCUCUGCCUGGCGUCUUCAGAAUUUGGAAACUAGUUAUGGUUUAUAAUCAGCUAUAGAAUUUUAACACGUGCUCUCAAAUGCAAGUUUCUGAUAACUUUGGAGAUUGUGACAUUGGAAUAAAGGAAGAGCUGGAAUGUUCAUGAAUAUCAAGCAAAAGUCAUGGAAAUUUAUUUUGAGCUAUUUACAGCAUUUAAUAAUUGAGCAAGGUAUACUCCUAUGAACAAAAUUUGGAGCAUGUUUGUCUCUCUCUGUCUGCCUGGCAUCUACAGAAUUUGGAAACUAGUUGUGCUGUACUGCAUGAGAAUGCCUGCAUUUAGUAUGCGAACUGGAAUUGGCAAAGGACGAUGGCUGCUCUCCCGCUAACUUUAAAUAAGUCAUGUCACAAAUUGCAUUCGUUCCCAGAUUUCCUAAACUUUCCAGAGAAAAUGGUCUUCUCCCUGGCUCAGCAAGAAGAUGAACUUUAAACACUGAGAAACUGGUCAUCUCCCUGGCUCAACCAGAAGAUGAACUUUAAACACUACUCUCAAUGACUUGAUGUUCCCAUCACUACUCCUGUCAUAAAGGGAGGGGACUCAGAUAUUGAGAAUUUUAUGAUAGUGUGAACUGUCUGGUAUGUCAUUUAAGUAAGCCCGUUGCUGAAAUAUUUUCCAUGUUAUUAGAAAGAGCUGAAGAGAGGGAUUGAGAUGGCUUCUUUAUUUUUUGUCUUUUGGGAAUUAAAGGAACCUGGUUCAACAAGGGCCUACACCUAAGUCUCUUGUUGUACCAGAGUACAAUUUAGGACUGCUCCUGAGGAAGGAAUUAGCUAGAAAUCUAGAGAGUAAGGGUAACAGAUUUACAUAGAAUAACAGCCUCAGUAUUUUUGGUUCCUCUCCAGUAAAGAUCACAAAGAAUAUUGCUAAAUCGCUAAAACACCUUUGCAAUAACGUAAGGGCUUACAACUAUAUACCAAUGUAGCUCAGUUACUAAACUGGAGUAAACUAAUUUCUCUUGUGUAGAAAAAUUGGUUGGCUGUGGUUUUAUAGCAGAUCUGCAAUUAUUAAUAGUUAUGCCAAUAAUCGUUUAACAGUGCAUAUGUUAAUAUAUAUGGAAAGACAAUGUGUAUAGACAGAUGUGUAAAAUUGAAAAAUAAACAUAUAACAAGAGAGAAACAUCUAUCGAACAGACAAUAUACAUACACAUCAAACACAACAGCAGUUUUAGUGACCAUAAUAUUUAUUUCUCAUUUUUACAUUGCUUACUUUAGUGACAACUGAAAAUGACAGUUGGCAAUGCAGCUAACAGUUUCAAUAAAAGUAUAAAACAAAAGACUGUGUACAAAGCACCUGUCUUUCCGCUUUUGUAAUCUUCCGUUGGAAAAAAUUUACACACCUAAGUAACCAUCUGUUUUCUUCAAGAAAAAAUCAUUCUUAUUUCUCUCUCUCAUCUUGAAAACAGCUGUCAGCCAGGAGGGCAGAGCUGAAAUUUAUUGCCACAUCACAUGAAGCAUAGAACAGACUCCACUACUCCUUGAGAUUCAAAACUUUGCCUCUCACAAAGUUACCUUUUAUUUUCCUCUUGUUUGUCACUCAUCUCCCCUAGUGUGCUCUUUUUAUUUCUUUUACUAUUAAUAAUAAAAUCUGUGGAUGACUGUAUUAU